rnacentral:tRNA from 1 species
UCUGAUAUGGCAGAUUAGUGCAAUGGUUUUAAGCACCAUAUAUAAAGUAUUUUACUUUUAUCAGAA